AACGCACGAGACCUGCGGACCUGCGGAGGGAUCAUUAACCGAGUUUAUACAUGACUCCCAAACCCCGUGUGAACUUAUACCUGUCUUACUGUUGCCUCGGCGGGUUCGCCCGCCGGGGGGACCAACAAAACUCUUUGUAAUUUGUUAUCUUAUAGGUACGUCUGAGUGGAAUCAUACACAAAUGAAUCAAAACUUUUAACAAUGGAUCUCU
rnacentral:misc_RNA from 1 species